rnacentral:rRNA from 1 species
UAUAAUCCUGCAUGAAUAUUAUGAUAAAUCGAUA